AGACUGACAAAGAGACAGAUCAGGGGCAGAGCCAGCAUGAUUCAAACACAGCCCUGGCCAAUCAGCAUCUCCUCAUAGAGAUGAAUUGAAUCAAUGAAUCUCUAGGAGGAAAAGUUCAGUGUCUGCAUGCAGAGGGAGGAGAUACUAAAUGUUUGGAUGCAUUUUAGGCAGCCAUGACCCAGGAAGGAUCUCUAACAGCCAUCUGAGGAGUGGCCAGUGAAGUUACC